AGUGCGUGCCGUUAGGUCGUCGCUAGUCGCAUAUCCAGUAUCCGCCCCAUGCUUUGGAUAUAACUUCUCCGUUAAACCGAGAAAUUUCGGAACGCGAAAAAGUUUCGGAAAGCAAAAGUUCAGAGCAAAUAAAAAAAAAGUUCAAGCCGCGACUUUGGGGCCAGCUCAUCGCAUUUGUCGAGCGGAAAAAAGUGUUAAUUGAAAAAUAAUCAGCUGCAAAAGAUGGCCACAGCCUGUCUGCCGGAAUACACGGAAAGUUUUCAAAUCCCACAGCCAGAUUUAAGAACAAACGAAAGUGGCGGCACCACCAUUGGCCACAGAGAACCAUCCAAAACCAGUGGGUUCUUCUACAGCGCCAGCACACAUUACCAGAGUAAAGUGCAGCAGCUGAUCAGCUUCAGUUUCACCUCAUCGUUCCACCUGCUCUUCAUCACCUGCAUUCUGAGCAUCAGCAAGUUCUGCAAUGCGGCCGCGGUAAAUGCCGCCCAGGUCACGGCUGCCACGCCCACCGCCAGCGAGAUAAUGCACAAUCUGAGCGGAUCGGCACUGCUGGAGCGCCUGAAAGCCAGUACUCUUGGUCCGACCCUCGAUCAGCUGAAACACUUGGCUCCGGCGGCGGCCAACAGCCUAAGUCCUGGAAUCGGAUCGGGAAUGGGCAUAGGCAUGGGGAACUUUGGCAACUCCAUCAACUCGGUGUUCAACGGAAAUCCCUUGAAGUUCCUGAACGUCUCCGGCAAGAUCGGCACCCCACUGGAUGUAUCGCUCGGUCUGACCAACUACUGCGAUGAGAAGCAGUUCCAGUGCUCCUCCGGACAGUGUAUCCCCAUACGGUUCGUGUGCGACGGGGCCUCCGAUUGUCCAGACCACAGCGAUGAGCGACUGGAGGAGUGCAAGUUCACAGAAUCGACUUGCAGCCAGGACCAAUUCCGCUGCGGCACCGGAAAAUGCAUUCCGCAAAGAUGGGUCUGCGAUCGGGAAAACGACUGCGCCGAUGGAAGCGACGAAUCGAUAUCCCAGUGCCGGAGCACAACUUGUACGCCCGAGCAGUUUGCCUGCAAGUCGGGCGAGGGCGAGUGCAUUCCCUUGUCCUGGAUGUGUGAUGAGAACGAGGAUUGUCGCGAUGGAAGCGACGAGGCCCAGUGCAAUAGAACGUGUCGCUCGGAUGAGUUCACCUGUGGCAAUGGACGUUGCAUCCAGAAUCGCUUCAAGUGCGACGAGGACGACGAUUGUGGCGACGGAUCGGAUGAAAAGGACUGCGGGGACAGACCGAAAUGCGGCCCCAAUUCCUUCACUUGCCACAGUGGCACCUGCAUUUCCAGAGGAUGGGUCUGUGACGGGGAAAACGACUGUAACACUGGAGAGGAUGAGAUGCAAAACUGCACAACCAGCAACUCCAUAUGCCUGACAUCCGAGUUCCAGUGUUCGGAUAUGAUUACCUGCCUGCACUCAUCUUGGGUUUGCGAUGGCGAGAAAGAUUGUAUCGGUGGCGAGGACGAGUCGCCGGAGAAUUGCCCCAGCAUAUCCUGUCGUCCCGAUCAGUUCCAGUGCGACGAUCGCAGCUGCAUCGCUGGCCUUCUGACCUGCAAUGGUGACAGAGACUGUUUGGAUGGCAGUGAUGAGAAGAACUGCCAUAUCAAUAGGACGCCAAGGGACUGCAACUCGACCAGCGAAUUCGAUUGCGGAGGAGGACAGUGCAUUCCCCUCUCGAAGGUCUGUGACCGGAGGAAGGACUGCCCGAAUGGCGAGGAUGAGCCCGCUGGCAAGUGUGGCAUCAAUGAGUGCUACUCCAACAAUGGCAAUUGCAUGCACCAGUGCGAGGAUCUGGCUGUGGGCCACCGCUGCGUCUGCCACGAUGGCUACAAAUUGGCCGAGGAUCAGCGCACCUGUGUGGACAUCGAUGAGUGCGAGACGCCCGGGAUUUGCUCCCAGGUGUGCGUCAAUGAGAUUGGAGCCUUCAAGUGCGAAUGCGAGGCAGGCUACAUGCGGCUGCUGAAGAAUCACACCAGGUGCAAGGCCAGCGAAGGACAUGCCUCGCUGCUCCUGGCCAGACGCCAUGACAUCCGAAAGAUAGCACUCGAUCGGCCGGAAAUGACGUCCAUAGUGAAUAGUACAAAGGCAUCCACUGCCCUGGACUUUGUCUUCCGCACGGGGAUGAUCUUCUGGAGCGAUGUGUCCACGAAGAGCAUCUACAAGGCGCCCAUCGAUGAGGGUAGUGAAAAGACUGUGGUGCUGACCAAAUCGUCGGUGACCUCGGAUGGCCUGGCUGUGGACUGGAUCUACAAUCAUGUGUAUUACACAGACACCGAGAAGUGCGUCAUCGAAUUGACCAACUUCGAGGGCAGCAUGGGCAAGGUCCUGGUGCAGGACGCGCUGGACAUUCCACGUUCCAUUGCCCUGGAUCCCAUUGAUGGGUGGAUGUACUGGUCUGACUGGGGUGCCUCUCCUCGCAUUGAAAGAGCGGGAAUGGAUGGAUCCCAUCGCACUGCCAUCAUUAGCUACGAUGUCAAGUGGCCCAAUGGCAUCACCUUGGAUCUGGUCCAGAAACGCCUCUACUGGGUGGAUGGCAAGUUGAACUCCAUCUCGUCGGCCAACUAUGAUGGUUCGCAAAGGCGACAGGUGCUGUACUCCAGCGAAUAUCUGAAGCACCCCUUCUCGAUCACCACCUUCGAGGAUUACAUCUACUGGACCGACUGGGACAAACAGACCGUCUUCAAGGCCAACAAGUUCAACGGGCAGGAAGUGCAGCCUGUCACAGCGCAUAUGUUGGAACAUCCGAUGGUGGUGCAUGUGUACCACCCCUAUCGCCAACCCGACGGUGUCAACCACUGCCAGACGGUGAAUGGCCACUGCUCGCACCUCUGCCUGCCAGCUCCCAGGAUUAACGAGCGGAGUCCUCGCAUAUCCUGCGCCUGUCCGACGGGCCUGAAACUGAUGCCCGACGGCCUCAUGUGCGUCGAAGAUCUUGAAGCAAAAACCGGUGGAAAUACCACAGACACAUCUAACAAGGUCGAUAAGUCUGCCCAAAAACCAGAUAAGGAUUACGGCCAAAUAGCUAUAUUUGUGAUAUGCGGUCUAACCAGCACAGCUUUAGCGGCUUGCGUAAUAUUUGUCGUAUAUCGACGCUGCACGCGGGCCGUGAACUCGAUGAACUUUGAGAAUCCCGUGUACCACAAGACCACGGAGGAUCACUUCAGACUGGAGAAGAACGUAACGCCGCAUAUGUACGCCACUGCCAUGGAGGAGGAGGUAAGCGGAUCGGCCCCACCCAUGGCCACGAAUCCCAACGACUUUAGUUAUGUCAGGUUCUAGGGAGUGUUUUAGUGUUAUGGGGCUGCUAGGUGCUAAGUUAAUGUUGUACAUAGAUGACUAAGUGCUCGUAUCAUAGUUGUACCUAUCUAGGGCUAAGAUUAGUUGUAUAAGUCCUGAUAUUGUUGUGAACGUAGCCAGUUUUGAAUCCCCGUUUUAACCGAGUUCGUUUCUCCAACAAUUUUCAAUUUAAAUGCCGCGAGCGAACGAAAUCACGGUGCCAAUUUAGAUAUUAAAAAAACGUCCAUCAAUCCCCUCUACGAACCCGGCACCGAAUGUGUCUAAGGCCCGCCAAAGAUCCACUUAAAUGCAUAUCCAGAUAGAACUGGCCGGCUGACCGAGAAGACCUAUAAAGCACCGCCUACUAGUAAUUCCUUUUUGGACCAAGGCCCCAAUAAACUCAACUAAAUAAGUGAAAGUUCAGUGUGAGAAAUG